GGGUCAGUAGGUUGGUCGUGCCACCGGUACGUACUGGUCUCACUGAUUCCUCCUUCCUGAAGAACCGUAAUGCCAUUAAUUUGGUGUUGCGGGGAAACAGGACUGUUACUUUGAAAAAAUUAGAGUGUUUAAAGCAAGCUAACGCUUGGAUACAUUAGCAUGGAAUAAUGAAAUAGGACGAUCGAUCCUAUUUUGCUGGUUUCUAGGAUUGACGUA
rnacentral:rRNA from 1 species